AUACAGCCAAGGACAACUUGGUGUUCUUGGAAAAAUGGUUCCUCAAAUUUAUUCCGAUAAAAAAAAAAAAAAAAAAAAAAAAAAGGGUUCCUGAAAUUUCCAAAUUGCAGGAGUAAAGGCUUGUAUAGCACUGGAGAAAGCUGUGUUUGUAUGUUUCUUGGUGUCUGAAAUUUUCAAUUUUUAUUAAUUGAAUGAAAUACAUGAAGAGAUAAAUCUUGAAGAUGCUUAUUGCUUAUCAUUAGGCCACUGUAUACCCCAUAUAGCAGAGAUAAUGCUCCAAUUCAACAAGAAAGAGAAUCUGUUCAACUAUUGGCCGACUUCGGUUUUACUUGAAUUGUUCAAUCCUGUUUUGAAUAUGGAGAACCUUUAUAUUACAUAUGUAACAUACUUGCAUUAGUUAACGGUUUAAUUUUAUUUAACUUGGUUGCCUUGCUUCUCGUUUGAAUCCAAUAUUGUGGCAACAAUAUUUAGCUGAUCUAUUUAAUUUCCUAUAAUUUAUCUUCAAUUUUAGCAUUUUGUUCUUGUGUAGGAACUACUCCAGUUUGCACUAUGCAGAGCUCCUUAAUUCAAGAAAUGAAAUGUACAGGGUUAGAGUUGAAUAAGAUUUGUAUUCUUGUCCUCUUACCAAUGAGUCUAAUUGUCUUUUAGUAGUCAUAUGAUUACAUACUACUGGUGGUGUAAUGAUUGUCUUUAAAUGAGUAAUGAAGUUGUUUCAAAGCAUUGUUACUUGUUACCCAGUUUUGGAAACAUUAAGGUGUAUUCACCUUUGUUAUACUUGUGUCUUGUUUUGUCAUCUUAGGUCUUUAUAUUUUUCGCUUAUGUCAAUUUUUCUGGAUCUUUUUGGUUCUCUUUUAACAUUGAAGUUUUCCAAUGAUUUCAUUUAAAUUCUUUUUUCAGUUUGAUCAACGUCAGAAAUUCAUGGGCCUUCCGACAAGUGAUGAGUUGCAGAAACAAGAUAUUCCGAAGAAGUUUCCGAAGAAGUUUAUGGCUGAGGUGAGAAGUAAAUGGCCCCUGCUCCCACUUCUUUUCUCUGCAUUUUAUACGUAUUCCAGGUUUGAAUAUGCCGAUACUAAUUUUACCUAUGUGAAUUUGCAGCACCUGAAAAUGGACUUCUUGAGGGCAAACUUUAAUUAACCAGUAUGAUAAUGCUUAUUGGGUGGGCUUUACUUUUCUGAACUUUCCCCACUCUUAUAUGUGAGGGGUUGGUUUGCUUGCUUUUAAAAUUCAAGUGUUUUUGUUGUGAGUAUUAAAAGACAGGUGUUCUUUAUUAUUAGAUUGGUUACGAAUAUUUUUAAUGUCUGCUUUGCCAUGGCUUUGAACAACAGUAGAAUGUUUCCUAAAUUCUUUAUAUGCUACAACCCCCAUUUUGAGGUACCAUAAACAGCAAGACCCUACAAAUAGCAUCAUGAAAUGUCAUGAUUUAGUGGCACUUCUUCAUUCGUUCUUGCAGAAAAACUUUUUUGAUUUGAAGGGCUCACCAUCUAAAUAUUUUGCCCAAUCUUGAAGUCUCUACGAUAAUGUAAUAUUUUAGAAAUUUCCUCCUCAUUAAAACUAAUAAGUUGCCCACAAUCUUUGUUACAGAUCCUCGCUAUCUUUAUAGGAUGUGUUCCAUUUUUGAAAAAAUUAAUCUUCACAUCGGAUGCUUCGUGCUAUUUUUCACUGAUAGCUGCUUGAUUCUAGGGCACGUUCAGUUCCUUCCCAUAAUGGGUUAUAUUUAAUUACUCUUUUUGCUUUGUGUUUUAUGGUUCUCCAAUUGCGUGUCGCAAUGCACUUUUGAGCUUCAUUUGGAUUAGGUAUGCAAUAGUAGACAUGAUCGGAACAAUUCUGUAAAUUAGGAGUCUGUUUGGGAGUGAUUUUAAGAAUUGAUUUGUUGAUCGUUAGGAGAAAAGUGGGGUCCACCUGUGAGAGAAGAAAUCAAAUAUGACGGCUAGAAUAAUGAAAUAACGGUCAAAAAAUCAAUUUUUUGGGUGAAAAAAUCGGGCCCAAACAAGCCGUAGAUUUAAGCCUUUUCUUUAUAAUAAUGAUCCAUGGUGUCCAAUCUGCACUACCGUGUAUGUACUAGCAUAUAGCACUGCUGUUCCCAUUUCUUGUCGUACAUGUUGCCGUAUGAAUUAUGAGGGCUGUUAAUUAAGUUGGAU
rnacentral:lncRNA from 1 species